UGUGGAUCUAACUUCCCUUAGU
rnacentral:miRNA from 1 species